rnacentral:lncRNA from 1 species
AAAAUUUUCAAGACAAAAUUUUAUUAAUUAAAAUAUUUAUUUAUCCAUGUAAUACUAAAAUUAUUUACAAAAUCAUAGAAAUGUACUAAAUUUUACGUUUCGCGUAAACUACAAAACUUUGAUUUUUUAUAUUUUUAGAUUCCCAUAAAAUACUACAUUGUAUAUAAAACAAGACUAUUUAUUUGUUUGAUAUUCUAAAAACUGUUCUGUUUGUAACUCAUAAAAAUUUAUAGUUUACUGUAAAAUAUUUAAAUGUAUGUACUUUUCCAUAAAAUAUUAAAAAUUCCUUUAGAUAAAUACAAAAAUCUAUAGUCUUUUAUGGCUUAUUAUCGUUUAAAAACCCUAGCAAACAAAAUUUUUAUAAACAUAGAAAAAUACACUCCAGAAUAAAAUUAAGAGAACACCUAAUUUUUCCGGUAAAAAAGUAUAAAAUUCAAACUCCAGCAACUUUGCGAAUAAUGGUCAUAGAAAAAAAUUCCAAAAAUUAAAGGGCAAAAUGUCUACUUUUCGACGGUUAUGUCAAAAUUUUUAAUUUUUUUUAAUUUUUAAAAAUUUUUGAGUAAAAAAAAAUUGGAAAAUUUUUAAAUUUUUUCUUCGUAUUUGUUUAACUGCAUGGGCGAAGAUAAAUUUUUUUUCGUAAAUGAAACCAAUUGUUCUCAAAAGCUCAAUUCUUAUGGUUUAAUUUCGUUUUUUAUACGACCCUCUACGAUUUCUUUUGACCAAGUUAUUGCCAUUUUUCGAAACAAUGUCAUUUUUAAAUUCGACGGUACAUAUCUCGGCAAUCAAUCAUCGUACAGUAAUAAAAAAAAAGCAAAUUAAAGAGCAAACACUCAACUUUAACAAUAAAUUUUCAGUUUUUAGUAAAAAAAUACUGACUUUUACUGACUUUUUUUGAAAAUUUGCUCAUGUCAUAAAAAUAUCAAAAAAUUUUAUCUAUAGAUAAAGAAACGUAGAACAGUUGGGACGUAGAACAGUUGGGACGUGGAAUCCAGAUAGCGCGACUUGUGCUUCUAAAGUUUACACAUUACUCUUUAAAAUCCAUUUUGGUUUUUUUUAUUUCGUCAUAAUGUGCAAAAUCCGAAAGGCUCGUAGACACGCAAGAAUCCCUCUAGCAACAGGCCAAAAAAACGUUGUGUAUAUAAGCACCGCGAACAGAGAACGAGCGGGUUACUACGUAUCAAUCAAGCGACAAAUCCAUGUCGCUCAUCGUAACACUUUAUUAUAGUCAUUUACUGUAACGGGUUACGAAGUGUAAUUAAGUUUGAACCAAAUAUAACUCUUUUCUACAACUCUCGGCGUUAUCUCUACGGAAUUUGAUCCGGUCAUCGGCAGCGAUCCCGUACCAUGUCUCAUAACGAGGGGCACGAUCAUUACAUAAGGAAAACGCAGAUUACAUAUAAGAACUGGUCGAUUACAUAGCAGCGAAAGAGUUAAUUGUCAAAACAGUGAAAAACGCAUAUUGAACAUCUUUAUCUAUUUCUUGGCAAAAAAUAUAAUAUAAAACGGAAUCCAUCCCAGAUAGUAAAUCAUGGAGAAACGGCAAUUCCACGUUCAUUCCAUGACGUAAAAAACAACAUAAUUAAUUCAAUUUUUAAUCAAAUAUGACCUUAAGAAAAAUAAAACAUCAUACUAAUUUUUAGUUAUUGAUCAAUAAAUAGGAUCUAAAAUCUGAAUUAUCAAUCAUCGAUUGAUUCUAUAAGCGGACAUAUCUCGAACAAUUAUUGCUUUAACCUUUAUAUGCACACUCAGCGUUGUUACACACGCAGGGUACCUGGGUACCAUUAGUUUUUUUUAAUUCCUAAGUUUGUAUGUGAACGUAAUCGUUUGGAAUCAAUUUACUUUAUUAAAUAAACAUCAAUAAAAACUAUUUAAGCCAUUUCCAAGUCUUCUAGCCUGUUACAGUUUUCAUGAAAAAAAAUAAAAGUAGGAUUUCCGAGCGCUGCGCAAGUAGUGCGCGGUCAGUUUUGACGAAAUGUCGAUUGAUACCAAAGUUAUCGAGUAGUUAAUAUCUAGAGCAUAUACUUCAAAUAAAAUCGAUUAUUAUGUAUAGACACAGUUGAAUCAAUAUCUACAGGUUUUUCAGCUGCAUACUUAUUCAUUAAACUUAACGCAAACGUGUUUCCGUGUAUGUUAGUUGUGUUGGAACCUAUGAUUUUGUGCCGUAAAGCAAUUGACAAUUAACAAUUAGUUAUUAUUUUAUGAAGCAAAAGGUAUCACAUCAAGCAGAAUAAUUCACAACGUACGAAUAGCGUCGCAACAGCAUAUUUUUUGUAAUGGAAAAUUUGUUCUUACAAUUUUUAUACAUUAUGCAAAAUUAUUUUUCUAUGCAGAUAUAUUGGAAAUAAUAAACAUAAAUUAAUUUAAAACCUGUUUAUUUUACACAACAUUAAUAUUAAUAUUAGUAGUAAAAACAGACGAUAAUGAUGCCAAUUAAUUGGACGAAAUGUUUACGAAUUGAUAAUGACAACCUCGAGACAGUAUUAGUAGAAAAAAAUUACAGGUUCUUGUCACGCUUACUACAAAGAAACUGCUCAGAAGACGCAGAAAAUCGCGAAAAUGUUGUUCAGUUUGCGAAAAGCCUGUCUGCGAUGAACACUGUGUAUCGACAAUUAAAUGUAUUGAUUGCGCUAAGUAAAUUUGUUUCUCCACACAAGUGUCGAUACAAGUCAUGUAAAUGGAAAGCAUCCCUUGAAACGCAUUCAAUUAAAGUGUCUCCACGUGACAAGAAAUAACAAAAUGAAAAAGUGUAUGUUCGUGUGAAAAGAAUAGUACACAUAAAGUUACAUUAUUAUUUGUAAUGUGAAGAAAAUUCAAAUAAACGUCUUGUUAAUAAA